GAUAUUAUUGUGAGCGGAUAAGAGGAAUCGAGGCCGAUCCUGCUAAAAAAAAAAAAGAAGAAAAAAAAAGGGAAAAAAAGAAAAGAAAAAAGCAAUACGAAAAAUGCCUGAACCGAGAAUAGACAAGAAGGUUCGUGGUUCCUUAGAUAGAUUGAACUGCAUCUCACAGGUCAUAUUUCAUCUACCAGCCACAUAUGAACCCAUAUAAAAAAAAGAGAUCAAACGGUCAGGUGAAAUAACGAUUGC
rnacentral:lncRNA from 1 species